GUUUGGUACCUCGCUGUCGGCUCUUCCCAUCCUGGUGGUGCAGCAGCCGCCAAGGGUAGGCCUGUUCGGCCAUUAAAGGGGAACGUGAGCUGGGUUUAGACCGUCGUGAGACAGGUCGGAUUUUAUCUGCUGGGAGUGUUGGCUGUCUGAGGGGAAAGGGUCUUCAGUACGAGAGGAACGAGACGCUGCGGCCUCUGGUCUACCGGUUGUCCGACAGGGCACCGCCGGGCAGCUACGCCGCGACGGAUAAGGGCUGAAAGCAUCUAAGCCCGAAGCCGCUCCCAAAAAUAGACAGCCAUUCC
rnacentral:rRNA from 1 species